AGCUAGAUAUUGAGGUCGGAAAGCCCAAGGCUAUAUAAACCUCAUAUGAGCACUUUGUAGUACCGAUGUGGUUCUCCCUAGGUUGUAUCAAUGGUAUCAGAGUCACCCACCACCCUCUCUGCCCAUCAUGCCUUGGAUGGUGAUGUCGUUAUUGCAGUGUUCGCCCGGAGCUAGAAAUAUCCGGCGCACAGCCAUCGGGGACGACGGAUGCCGAGCGCGGUAGUUUGUUAUGGUCUAUUACAAAGGAAUGUGACUUGAAUUCCAUAUCGGUACUACAAAAAUGCUGAUGUGAGUUUAUAUAGCCUUGAAUUAUGCUACCUCAAUAGCUAGCUUUUGGGUAUGCUUCUCCGUGUAUAUACUGGCGGUUGCAAUUAUUUUCAUCCAUGUUAAAAGCCCUUUUUUCGGUUAGGGAUCUGAAAAUAGCCCGUUGACUGUGAGAACUAAAUGGGGAAUGAGACUGUGAGAACCAAAUGGGGAAUUAGUUUCACUCAUUCCUGUGUGUUUAACUAUCAUCUCUUGAUCAAGUAAUGACACACUUAAUACAAUGAUGACACACGGAAAACGGCACGCUCGCCAUUUCUGCAGAAAUUUUCUUUAAGUGGCAGUUGCUUAUGGCGGAUAGUCAAAAGUGCCCAACUUUCCAAGCAAUUCUGUGAUGAAAGCGAAUUACCCCGAUUUGCUAUAUAUAGUUAGUUACCUCAGCAGAAUAUAAUCUAUCAUUUUCUACUGCUUCAACCUCAUGGGGUGAGUGUAUUUGCCACAUCUGUUCUGUUGUCAAUUUUAGUCUCCUACUAUUGUUAUAAGUCGUCUCAUAUUCUGCUGCAUUCUUUCCUUUUCUUAUGUUCUUUGGGAAUUUGUUCCAACUGGCGUAGGACUUUAAUCUUGCUGCACCAAAGAUAAAUCUGAUCAUUAAAUGCCAAAAUAAGAGGAUUAACUUAUAUACAUUAAGAGUGUGCAGAAUUGUUACAUGUUAUUUUCCAUGUUGCUAAUCCCAUCUUUUAUGAAUGAUCACUUGUAGAUAUCUUUUAGGUCAGUGUAAAAUUUCUUUUGCAUUGCCCUCUAUUAAGUUAUAUACACUGACAAAAUAAAUUUUUCACCGUCAAUAUGGUUUAAAAGUUGCAGUAUAUUAUCUGGUAGUUGACAAAAAAGAAAUGAAGGUUGUUAUGUAAACUACUUGCUUUCUCCUGAUUCUAGCUAAACAUUACCCUUUGCUUUCUCUUGAUAGGAUAUAUUUUCAAUAAUUUAUUCACUUCUGGGUUAUUACCAGGAUAAGUUGGUCAUUGCUUGAGAAACGAGAAUGUAAAAUAAUUUAAGUUUGAAUUGAUAAGAAAGCCAGUUAGUAGAAGGUGGGACUUGAAAAGUAAGGCAUGAUCAUUUUCUUGAAUUAUGUUCGUAGACGUUAACUUUAAUGCUGUCUCGUAACCUUCAUAAAUUGAAAUUUGUAGGAUGCACCAGUAAAUUUGUCCUAAAAGCAGUAGAAUAGUGAAAAAGGUUGUAUAUACUAAUUCCACAAGAAAUCGCGUAUUUUUGGGUGAAACGUAUGUUUUCGCAAGAUGAUGAUCUAUUCCACCAGUUAAAAAGACUGGACAUUUUUGUGCUAAGACGUGUAAUGUGCAGGAGUCUUGUGUUAACAGAUAUGCCUCUAUUUAUAGAAUUUGAAGGAAUGUGAAAAUCUCUAUCGAUCCAUGCCAUAUGGGGUCGGCAUUCAUCUCUUUGAUGUGUUUCUUUCCUAUUUCUCUCAGUGCUGCUGUUUAGCGAUGUGCUUUUAGCUGCAGUACAUAAUAGGAUCAUGAUCCAAAAACAAUAAAACCAUGUUAUAGUUAUAGAAAAAUUAGAAGAAAAAAAUACUAUUGUAACGUGUUUGACAUAAACAAGGACCCAUUGCUUCCGUUUCUUUUCUUGGGCUCCUAGUCAUGAAGCUGUUGAAUUUCCACCUUUUUACAUUUAAGCAGAGAUUACAAGGUGGGGGAAAAUGAGGGGAUUUGCUCAUUGAUUUUAUUGUAAAAACACACACUAACAAUAAUGGAAUUUGGCUAAACAAAUAUUGACAUAAAAAUAGAUCUACACACAUCUGUUGCCACUCCUGCUUAAGUUGCGGAUGAUUUCUGCAGGUUGACGAGGACUGCAAAAGCUAUAUAUCAGCUAUUCGUGCUGUAGAACCUCAAAU
rnacentral:lncRNA from 1 species